rnacentral:rRNA from 1 species
UUGUCUCAAAGAUUAAGCCAUGCAUGUCUCAGUACAAGCCAAAUUAAGGUGAAACCGCGAAAGGCUCAUUAAAUCAGUUAUGGUUCCUUAGAUCGUACCAACAUUUACUUGGAUAACUGUGGUAAUUCUAGAGCUAAUACAUGCAAAUAGAGCUCCGACCGGAGACGGAAGGAGCGCUUUUAUUAGAUCAAAACCAAUCGGCGGCGGGUUCCUCGCGGGCCCGUCGUCGUUCGCAUUGACGAAUCUGAAUAACUUUCUGCUGAUCGCACGGUCUCGCACCGGCGACGCAUCUUUCAAAUGUCUGCCUUAUCAACUGUCGAUGGUAGGUUCUGUGCCUACCAUGGUUGUAACGGGUAACGGGGAAUCAGGGUUCGAUUCCGGAGAGGGAGCCUGAGAAACGGCUACCACAUCCAAGGAAGGCAGCAGGCGCGCAAAUUACCCACUCCCGGCACGGGGAGGUAGUGACGAAAAAUAACGAUACGGGACUCAUCCGAGGCCCCGUAAUCGGAAUGAGAACAAUUUAAAUCCUUUAACGAGGAUCAAUUGGAGGGCAAGUCUGGUGCCAGCAGCCGCGGUAAUUCCAGCUCCAAUAGCGUAUAUUAAAGUUGUUGCGGUUAAAAAGCUCGUAGUCGAAUCUGUGUCCCGCGCCGCCGGUUCGCCGCUCGCGGUGUUUAACUGGCGUGUUCGCGGGACGUCCUGCCGGUGGGCUUAGCCCUUUCGCGAGGGCGGCCCAAUCAUAAUCCCGCCGCGGUGCUCUUCACCGAGUGUCGAGGCGGGCCGGCACGUUUACUUUGAACAAAUUAGAGUGCUUAAAGCAGGCUAAAAUUUCGCCUGAAUACUUCGUGCAUGGAAUAAUGGAAUAGGACCUCGGUUCUAUUUUGUUGGUUUUCGGAACCCCGAGGUAAUGAUUAAUAGGAACGGAUGGGGGCAUUCGUAUUGCGACGUUAGAGGUGAAAUUCUUGGAUCGUCGCAAGACGGACAGAAGCGAAAGCAUUUGCCAAAAACGUUUUCAUUGAUCAAGAACGAAAGUUAGAGGUUCGAAGGCGAUCAGAUACCGCCCUAGUUCUAACCAUAAACGAUGCCAGCUAGCGAUCCGCCGACGUUCCUCCGAUGACUCGGCGGGCAGCUUCCGGGAAACCAAAGCUUUUGGGUUCCGGGGGAAGUAUGGUUGCAAAGCUGAAACUUAAAGGAAUUGACGGAAGGGCACCACCAGGAGUGGAGCCUGCGGCUUAAUUUGACUCAACACGGGAAACCUCACCAGGCCCGGACACCGGAAGGAUUGACAGAUUGAGAGCUCUUUCUUGAUUCGGUGGGUGGUGGUGCA